rnacentral:rRNA from 1 species
UAAGAUUGUAGUAUCGCAUGAUAUAGCAAUUAAAGGAGCAAUUCGCUNUAAGAUGACCCGCGUCGCAUUAGCUAGUUGGUGAGGUAAUGGCUCACCAAGGCGACGAUGCGUAGCCGACCUGAGAGGGUGAUCGGCCACAUUGGGACUGAGACACGGCCCAGACUCCUACGGGAGGCAGCAUG